rnacentral:rRNA from 1 species
AGCGAACGCUGGCGGCAGGCCUAACACAUGCAAGUCGAACGAACUCUUCGGAGUUAGUGGCGGACGGGUGAGUAACACGUGGGAAUGUGCCUUUUGGUUCGGAAUAACUCAGGGAAACUUGUGCUAAUACCGAAUGUGCCCUUCGGGGGAAAGAUUUAUCGCCAUUAGAGCGGCCCGCGUCUGAUUAGCUAGUUGGUGAGGUAACGGCUCACCAAGGCGACGAUCAGUAGCUGGUCUGAGAGGAUGACCAGCCACACUGGGACUGAGACACGGCCCAGACUCCUACGGGAGGCAGCAGUGGGGAAUCUUGCGCAAUGGGCGAAAGCCUGACGCAGCCAUGCCGCGUGAAUGAUGAAGGUCUUAGGAUUGUAAAAUUCUUUCACCGGGGACGAUAAUGACGGUACCCGGAGAAGAAGCCCCGGCUAACUUCGUG